UGACGUUUGGUCCAAAGAAAGCAAACAGUCUGGUAGAGAUGGCUUUCUUUACAGCAAGGCAUGAUGUCUUAAGGUCGUGUGACUUGGUGGAAGACUUUUGCGAUAUCACACUACGAUAAAAACUGAAAAAUACAGUCAACAAACGGAGAAGACAAUCACAAACGAGGAAACGUCAGGCUUCAGUAUUCAUCUCUUUGGAACGGUUGGAUUUUCAUUUCAAGGUCGAUCACAGUACAACUGGAGUUGAUUUUUGAAACGGAAACGUCAGGCGUCAGUGUUCAUCUCUUUAGAACGGUUGGAUUUUUAAGACAAGAUCGACCACCGUACAACUGAAGUUCCUUUUUUUAAACGGGAACGUCAGUCUUAAGAGUUCCUCUAUUUAGAACGGCUGGAUCUUCACAAGAUUGAUCACGGCACAACUGAAGCUAUUAUCUUUACAUGGUAAAUGCAUCAUCCAAGUACUAACUUUGCUUUCAACAAAGUGAACGCUGAAUGUUUUCGACUUUUUAAAUGGCAACCACAAUUGGGGUGCGUCAACACGAGCCGUGUGCGAUGCCUUCAUCAACAAAAUGGACAGGAAUGAUACAACAAACAGAAUAAAAACUCGGAAAUGUGAAACAUAUAGCAAGAAAAACCACCCUACAAAACAAUCUAAAUUAUGUUCGUAUGACAAUGAUUCCGUAAACGAGCUAAAACUUAAUUUCAAAUAGCAGCAUGCAAAAGCUACGUCUAAGAGAAACUGAUUACCCCUACUCGUAAGACGCAAAUGAAUCUAAAUGACAACAACUCUAUUACGUAUAGCCGAACGCUAAUGAAUCAAUUUUAACAACAUACUAUGUAACACCCCAAAUAAAGGGCUACAUAACCCGUGAUAAAUACAUUGCACAGAUAAUUAAUAGUUAUAGUAGCGGAGCAUUGUUUUCACUCCAUAACCAUAACCAUUACAUGACGUAAAAUUCAAGGUAAAUUGCGCGGGAAAAUACAGUUUAAGAUAUAUCCAGAGUACAAACGACUGCAAUAUUUUACCUUCCUUAAAGGCCAUUCUCGCUUACAAUAGAGGUUUCUAAGAUAGGUUUCCAGGUCUCAAAGGUUUUUUCAGCACUCUUAUCUUUAACGUUUCCUUCGAUAAUGAAUAAAUCCCCUUGAGCGUUUUCUUCGUUCUUAUUCCUUCUCCUUAGCUUGGCUUUUUUUUAGUUUUUAUUUCCUGGAAUUUUGGUUUUCUGACAUUCCUUAGAAUG